rnacentral:rRNA from 1 species
UUAGAUCACCGAAGUUAAGCAUCAUUGGGCGCUGUCAGUACUUGGGUGGGUGACCACCUGGGAACACUGCGUGCCGUU